rnacentral:pre_miRNA from 1 species
CAACAUCCACAGAGUGCAGCCCCGCCAGGGAGCCCAGGCUGGCCUGGGCGAGUGCCUCUUCGAAAGGCUCACUCUGAAGCACGACUAGGGGU